rnacentral:rRNA from 1 species
AGUGAACGCUGGCGGUAGGCCUAACACAUGCAAGUCGAACGGCAGCACAGUAAGAGCUUGCUCUUACGGGUGGCGAGUGGCGGACGGGUGAGGAAUACAUCGGAAUCUACUUUUUCGUGGGGGAUAACGUAGGGAGACUUACGCUAAUACCGCAUACGACCUACGGGUGAAAGCAGGGGAUCUUCGGACCUUGCUCGAUUGAAUGAGCCGAUGUCGGAUUAGCUAGUUGGCGGGGUAAAGGCCCACCAAGGCGACGAUCCGUAGCUGGUCUGAGAGGAUGAUCAGCCACACUGGAACUGAGACACGGUCCAGACUCCUACGGGAGGCAGCAGUGGGGAAUAUUGGACAAUGGGCGCAAGCCUGAUCCAGCCAUACCGCGUGGGUGAAGAAGGCCUUCGGGUUGUAAAGCCCUUUUGUUGGGAAAGAAAAGCAGCAGGUUAAUACCCCGCUGUUCUGACGGUACCCAAAGAAUAAGCACCGGCUAACUUCGUG